rnacentral:rRNA from 1 species
GACGGGGGGGGCAAGCGUUGUUCGGAAUUACUGGGCGUAAAGAGCUCGUAGGCGGCCAACUAAGUCAGACGUGAAAUCCCCGGGCUCAACCCGGGAACUGCGUCCGAUACUGGCAGGCUUGAAUCCGGGAGAGGGAUGCGGAAUUCCAGGUGUAGCGGUGAAAUGCGUAGAUAUCUGGAGGAACACCGGUGGCGAAGGCGGCAUCCUGGACCGGUAUUGACGCUGAGGCGCGAAAGCCAGGGGAGCAAACGGG